CAGCAGCCGCGGUAAUACGUAGGUCCCGAGCGUUGUCCGGAUUUAUUGGGCGUAAAGGGAGCGCAGGCGGUUUAGUAAGUCUGAAGUUAAAGGCAUUGGCUCAACCAAUGUAUGCUUUGGAAACUGUUAGACUUGAGUGCAGAAGGGGAGAGUGGAAUUCCAUGUGUAGCGGUGAAAUGCGUAGAUAUAUGGAGGAACACCGGUGGCGAAAGCGGCUCUCUGGCUUGUAACUGACGCUGAGGCCCGAAAGCGUGGGGAGCAAACAGGAUUAGAUACCCCUGUAGUCCCUGUCUCUUAUACA
rnacentral:rRNA from 1 species